rnacentral:tRNA from 1 species
GUUUCUAUAGUUGAAUAACAACGGUGGUUUUUCGAGUCACUGGUCCUGGUUAAAAUCCGGGUGGAAAUU